rnacentral:rRNA from 1 species
UACGGGGGGAGCAAGCGUUGUUCGGAUUUACUGGGCGUAAAGGGCGCGUAGGCGGUCAGCACAAGUCAGUUGUGAAAUCUCCGGGCUUAACUCGGAAAGGUCAACUGAUACUGUGCGACUAGAGUGCAGAAGGGGCAACUGGAAUUCUCGGUGUAGCAGUGAAAUGCGUAGAUAUCGAGAGGAACACCAGUGGCGAAGGCGAGUCCCUGGACAACUCCUGACGCUGAGGCACGAAAGCUAGGGGAGCAAACAGG